UUGUUCAUUCACGUCAUACUCUCUUUUUUCUCUUCUCUUAUGGUUUCAGUACAUAACGCAUACUCUCUUCUCUUGACCGCCAUCCCAUAGGCCCUUGUCUCCACGCCAUCUCCUCCCCACGUCAUUACUUCUUUACGCCCUCGUCUCCAAGACGCCGUUAACGGAAGUCAGUAUCAUCUCCGACCGAUCUCUGGGUUUGCUGCGUUCUCUGCUUCCGUUUGGGCAAUUAGAUUGACACAAAGAACAUUCUCUUCAUAUGUGCUGGAGCAUUUAUUGACCUUGAAAAAACUAUUUCAGAGAGACGGCAAGAUUCUUCUAUUGGUUUUGGGAGACCAAUCCGUGCCAAUGUGACAGCUAGUGGGGUUACACAUGCUGCAGUAACAUCAUCUUUACUUGAGUCGGUGGAAAGUGCUGAUCUUAUUACAUAUGGUCUCAUCCCAGAGUUUAUCGGACGGUUUCCAAUCUUAGUUAGCUUAUCAGCUCUACGUGAAGACCAACUCAUGCAGCUGCUAGUAUGCGCUGGAUAAUGGCUUCUAAGGAGGACAUCAAAAGAAUUGUUAAACCACUCUUGUUUGUGCUGCGAUCAUCAUCUACUUCAAGAUAUGUGGUUGAAAGAAAUUGUGGUAAUUUAUUGCUUCCAAAGGUUGUCGGCUUCUUUUUGGUAUCUUCAUUCUUUUAAUAAUCAUCGUCUAUACAAAUUGCAUUGAAAAAAAUACUUCAAAAAUAUGUACUUUAUUACAAUGAAAGAAAAAAUAAUAAUUUACGUACAACAAAGAAUGGAUUGAAACAACAACUAAUAAUUCUUGUUUUUGUGCAUUUCAUUAUACAUCAUCAUGCUCGUGGCAAACAACAUAACUUACACGAAAACUUCAUUAGACUUAUUCACCUACUUAAAUGGUUCUUAUUAUAUAAUUUUUGGUUGAUAACAAAACUUACCAUAUUAUCAAUCUUCCCAUGAGGUCUAAGCAUUGCAUGUCUUUUUUGGUCAAAAUGUUGUUGGACACCACCUCUACAAGCGCUCUAAAAAGAAAACAAAAUGAUGAUAAUGUUAAGUUCAAACACAUUUAUAAAUCAUAUAGAUGCACCACAUGGCAUAGAGCAUGCUAGUGGCUAUACAUAAUGGAAGGAAUCAACUUAUGCAACAUUUGGUGUCCAGUUGGAAAGAGCUAAAAGGUUGCAUGAAAACAUGAUGAGGUAUGGUAUAUUAAUUAACGAAAAUGUUUUUAUGACAUCGGUUUUUGACACAAAUUUGACAUCGCCCCACAUGUCAAAUUUGUAUUGGAUGUCUUCACUUAAUUAAAAAAACCCUUUUAAAAAAGCUGAGGAGGGUAAUUUUGGAAUUUGGAUUUUAUGAAAUUUAAUUUUCGCGGUUUCAUUUUUCUUUUUCUUCACUUUUGUUCUGAACUUUCGUCUCUCU